rnacentral:lncRNA from 1 species
UAAUAUUCGCGGCCUGAAAAUCGUGCGCUAUUAAAAAAAUAUGAAUUAUUGUUAGAUAAAGAAAGAAUUGAAUAAGUUAUUUUAUUACAGAUCAUGGAAUUUUUUUAAUGAUAAUUUUGCUUUGUACAUUUUAAUAAAUAAAUAAUUAUUUGCAGGCCAGGCUACACUUUGCAUUAUUGUUCUAUCCAAUACUUUUCUUGUUUUGUACAUUUAAUACAUUUUCAAUCCUUCACAUGCAUCGCAUUAAUUAACUGAAAGUCUACCAUUAUUUUUCUGAGAUUCUUUCCAGCAACAAACAACGAUCUGAUCAUAGAAUUUUAAUUUAGUAGUAAGUUGGAUAAAUAUUAUGAAUAGUCAGAAUAGAAGAAAAACAUUAUAAAUGGAAUUUGUACACACUUUUAAUCUGAUUGCUUGCGUUAAAACAUUAGUAGAUAGCCAGAUUAUUUCUCACUCAUAAUCUGUUGGAUAAGUUAACUUGCAUGCAGGAAUUGAUGAUAGGUCCAUGAAGAUCAUGAGUGCUAGCUGAUAUAGUUUGAUAUGUAGGUUAAGCAUGCACACGCAUAAUCAUUUUACACGGCUGAUUUAUGUAUUUAGUGUAUUGGGAAUCUAGUUUUUAUGAAAGGUGCAUGCAUUGAAAAUAGUCGUUGGGGCAUGUACGCCAAUAUUGCAAUUCCAUAGAGCUUAUGCCA